rnacentral:rRNA from 1 species
CAGUAGCCGCGGUAAUACGUAGGGUGCAAGCGUUAAUCGGAAUUACUGGGCGUAAAGCGUGCGCAGGCGGUUCGCUAAGACAGAUGUGAAAUCCCCGGGCUUAACCUGGGAACUGCAUUUGUGACUGGCGGGCUAGAGUAUGGCAGAGGGGGGUAGAAUUCCACGUGUAGCAGUGAAAUGCGUAGAGAUGUGGAGGAAUACCGAUGGCGAAGGCAGCCCCUGGGCCAAUACUGACGCUCAUGCACGAAAGCGUGGGGAGCAAACAGGAUUAGAUACCCCGGUAGUCCCUGUCUCUUAUACA